rnacentral:lncRNA from 1 species
UUUCAAAAGGAAGUUGUUCUCAUGACUGAACUUGAACAAACUUUUCUAGCCCUAAUUUCUUUCUCCAGAGGGAUGUCACCCUGCUCCCAUCACUGGCCCGGUAGGAUGGAUGCAAGUGUAGAUCUAUAUAUUUCAUAUACGGGGUAAAUGGAUCAGAUAGCAUGUAAAAAAGUGUUGGGUUGAUUCCAAAUAUAUUUUAAUUUUACAUUUUAUAUAUAACAAGUUUUAGUGUUUAUACAGUAAAAAAGGACAUUUUUAGCAAGUUCAUUUUAGGCUAAUUUUGUUUGUUUUACGUGUUUGACCAGCUAUGAUAAAACAUAACCCGUACUGACUCAUAACCCGACCCCCUCGAACUUUUCGCUCAAUAGUGUUAUAUAUGUAGUUUUCGUAUAGAAAUUUUUGGGUACAUACGUUUUCGACCCCCCGGUUCUAUAGAUAUUUUUGGGUAUAUACGUUUUCGAUCCCCCCAUCGAAAACUUCAAGCUUCGCCAUUGUACUGACUCAUACUAAUGAAAUAGUUGAAGCAUAAUAUUUCUAUCUCCAUGACAAGCAAAACUAAUGGGAAAGGCAACACUUUGAUAGGAUUUGCUAAGCAAUCCAUGAAGGAAUCUAUUGUAAGCGUGCUACUUGUCGAUGAAGGAUGUGCUAGGAAUGGUCUUUCUUAAAAAAGUUAUGGUCCUUAACAAAAAUCAAGGUUAAUGUAGUUAAUUUCCUACCGAUCAUUUUACAAUUUUUCUGGAUUAUUAGGAUGCUAAUGAAAGAGUAUUUCCGUUACAAGGAUGACGAAGAGACGAGAUGUCACUGAAGAAGCUGAAGAUAAUGUGUAAAGCCUUACUUCUAAGAUAAUGCUCAUAAAUUCACAUAUAUUACGGCUCUGUGUUGGACGAGGGAGACGAAGCUACUAAAAGGUUCACUUACUUCCUCGGGAAGCCUAGCUGCUUUGUACGCUAUAAUGAAGCUGAAGUGCACAUCAACCGACACCUCACUCUGUUUGUGUGCACGAAGUAUGAUGCAAAGAAAGGUCGCCAAGAAUGAACAACAACCCAUUUGUAAGGUCAAGGCUUACAGAAAGCAGCUCAUCAUUUUUUAACCACAACAACAGCUAGGAGAUGUGAAUGUAUGUUUGUUGCGUGUAAUUAUCAUACAUUUGGUCGAUAAAUAAACAUGUUAGUUAAUAAACCCUGCCGCAUAAAUUGGUAUUCGUUCCGUCUUAAUUUGUAAGCCCCUAUUGCGUUU